rnacentral:rRNA from 1 species
CAGUCGCCACGGUAAUACGGAGGGUGCAAGCGUUAUCCGGAUUCACUGGGUUUAAAGGGUGCGUAGGCGGGCAGGUAAGUCAGUGGUGAAAUCUUCGAGCUUAACUCGGAAACUGCCGUUGAUACUAUCUGUCUUGAAUAACGUUGAGGUGAGCGGAAUAUGUCAUGUAGCGGUGAAAUGCUUAGAUAUGACAUAGAACACCGAUUGCGAAGGCAGCUCACUAAACGCUCAUUGACGCUGAGGCACGAAAGCGUGGGGAUCAAACAGGAUUAGAUACCCCCGUAGUCCCUGUCUCUUAUAC